UGCCUACGGGGGGCAGCAGUGAGGAAUAUUGGUCAAUGGGCGGGAGCCUGAACCAGCCAAGUCGCGUGAGGGAAGACGGUCCUAUGGAUUGUAAACCUCUUUUGCCGGGGGACAAAAGGCCGGACUCGUCCGGUCCUGAGGAUACCCGGAGAAAAAGCAUCGGCUAACUCCGUGCCAGCAGCCGCGGUAAUACGGAGGAUGCGAGCGUUAUCCGGAUUCAUUGGGUUUAAAGGGUGCGCAGGCGGGCCUUUAAGCCGGCGGUGAAAUCGCGGGGCUCAACCCCGCCGAGCCGGCGG
rnacentral:rRNA from 1 species